UCUGAUCAGGAUCUAGUUUGAGGCACUGAAAAUAUUUGAGAAGUUUGAGGGCUGGGGCAGGAAGAUUGCUUGGGGGCAGGAAGAUUGCUUGAUUCCAGGAGUUUGAGACCAGCCUGGGCAAUACAGCAAGACCCAAAAAAUUUAAAAAGAAAUUAGCCAGCCAUGGUGGUGCACACCUAUGGUCCCAGCUACUUGGGAGGCUGAGGCAAGAGGAUUGCUUGAGCCUC
rnacentral:lncRNA from 10 species